GAUGAAGAACGUAGCGAAAUGCGAUAAGUAAUGUGAAUUGCAGAAUUCAGUGAAUCAUCGAAUCUUUGAACGCACAUUGCGCCCGCCAGUAUUCUGGCGGGCAUGCCUGUUCGAGCGUCAUUUCAACCAUCAAGCCCCCGGCUUGUGUUGGGGACCUGCGGCUGCCGCAGGUCCUGAAAAGCAGUGGCGGGCUCGCUGUCACACCGAGCGUAGUAGCAUACAUCUCGCUCUGGGCGUGCUGCGGGUUCCGGCCGUUAAACCACCUUCAUAACCCAAGGUUGACCUCGGAUCAGGUAGGAAGACCCGCUGAACUUAAGCAUAUCAAUAAGCGGAGGA
rnacentral:misc_RNA from 1 species